rnacentral:rRNA from 1 species
CGUGCGAAGGUAGCGUAAUCACUUGUUCUUUAAAUGAGGACUAGUAUGAACGGCACCACGAGGGUUAUACUGUCUCCUCUUUCUAAUCAGUGAAACUAAUCCCCCCGUGAAGAAGCGGGGAUAAAACUAUAAGACGAGAAGACCCUAUGGAGCUUUAAAUUUACCCUCAAGCGCCAAAAUAGAUACCAAGUUUUUAACCUCACCAUAUGAACUCUCGCGCCAUGGGGGCAACUUUUAGGUUGGGGUGACCAUGGAGUAUAAAACAACCUCCAUGCUGAAUAGGCCUCUAAGCCUCGAGCCAAGGGCUACAACCCAUCGCACUAAAACACUAACAUCCAUUGAUCCAAUGUACUUUGAUCAACGAACCAAGUUACCCUAGGGAUAACAGCGCAAUCUACUUCAAGAGUUCCUAUCGACAAGUGGGUUUACGACCUCGAUGUUGGAUCAGGGUGUCCCAGUGGUGCAGCCGCUACUAAUGGUUCGUUUGUUCAACGAUUAAAACCCU